rnacentral:rRNA from 1 species
UACGUAGGGUGCAAGCGUUAUCCGGAAUUAUUGGGCGUAAAGAGCUCGUAGGCGGUUUGUCGCGUCUGCUGUGAAAACUGGAGGCUCAACCUCCAGCCUGCAGUGGGUACGGGCAGACUAGAGUGCGGUAGGGGAGAUUGGAAUUCCUGGUGUAGCGGUGGAAUGCGCAGAUAUCAGGAGGAACACCAAUGGCGAAGGCAGAUCUCUGGGCCGUAACUGACGCUGAGGAGCGAAAGCAUAGGGAGCGAACAGG